CAAUAGCGUAUAUUAAAGUUGUUGCAGUUAAAAAGCUCGUAGUUGAAUUUCUGGCGGGCGCGCCGGUCUUCCAAGUGUUGUACUGGGCGCAGUCCGCCAUCCUUGUGGAGAGGGCUCGCAUUGAGUUGCGUGUCGGAUCUGCAUCAUUUACUGUGAAAAAAUUAGAGUGUUUAAAGCAGGCUGUCGCUUGAAUACAUUAGCAUGGAAUAAUAAGAUAGGACUUCGGUCUAUUUUGUUGGUUGCGAACCGAGGUAAUGAUUAAUAGGGAUAGUUGGGGGUAUUCAUAUUUAAUUGUCAGAGGUGAAAUUCUUGGAUUUAUGAAAGAUGAACAACUGCGAAAGCAUUUACCAAGGAUGUUUUCAUNAA
rnacentral:rRNA from 1 species